GACAGCCAGGAUGUUGGCUUAGAAGCAGCCAUCAUUUAAAGAAAGCGUAAUAGCUCACUGGUCGAGUCGGCCUGCGCGGAAGAUGUAACGGGGCUAAACCAUGCACCGAAGCUGCGGCAGCGACGCUUAUGCGUUGUUGGGUAGGGGAGCGUUCUGUAAGCCUGUGAAGGUGUGCUGUGAGGCAUGCUGGAGGUAUCAGAAGUGCGAAUGCUGACAUAAGUAACGAUAAAGCGGGUGAAAAGCCCGCUCGCCGGAAGACCAAGGGUUCCUGUCCAACGUUAAUCGGGGCAGGGUGAGUCGACCCCUAAGGCGAGGCCGAAAGGCGUAGUCGAUGGGAAACAGGUUAAUAUUCCUGUACUUGGUGUUACUGCGAAGGGGGGACGGAGAAGGCUAUGUUGGCCGGGCGACGGUUGUCCCGGUUUAAGCGUGUAGGCUGGUUUUCCAGGCAAAUCCGGAAAAUCAAGGCUGAGGCGUGAUGACGAGGCACUACGGUGCUGAAGCAACAAAUGCCCUGCUUCCAGGAAAAGCCUCUAAGCAUCAGGUAACAUCAAAUCGUACCCCAAACCGACACAGGUGGUCAGGUAGAGAAUACCAAGGCGCUUGAGAGAACUCGGGUGAAGGAACUAGGCAAAAUGGUGCCGUAACUUCGGGAGAAGGCACGCUGAUAUGUAGGUGAAGCGACUUGCUCGUGGAGCUGAAAUCAGUCGAAGAUACCAGCUGGCUGCAACUGUUUAUUAAAAACACAGCACUGUGCAAACACGAAAGUGGACGUAUACGGUGUGACGCCUGCCCGGUGCCGGAAGGUUAAUUGAUGGGGUUAGCGCAAGCGAAGCUCUUGAUCGAAGCCCCGGUAAACGGCGGCCGUAACUAUAACGGUCCUAAGGUAGCGAAAUUCCUUGUCGGGUAAGUUCCGACCUGCACGAAUGGCGUAAUGAUGGCCAGGCUGUCUCCACCCGAGACUCAGUGAAAUUGAACUCGCUGUGAAGAUGCAGUGUACCCGCGGCAAGACGGAAAGACCCCGUGAACCUUUACUAUAGCUUGACACUGAACAUUGAGCCUUGAUGUGUAGGAUAGGUGGGAGGCUUAGAAGUGUGGACGCCAGUCUGCAUGGAGCCGACCUUGAAAUACCACCCUUUAAUGUUUGAUGUUCUAACGUUGACCCGUAAUCCGGGUUGCGGACAGUGUCUGGUGGGUAGUUUGACUGGGGCGGUCUCCUCCUAAAGAGUAACGGAGGAGCACGAAGGUUGGCUAAUCCUGGUCGGACAUCAGGAGGUUAGUGCAAUGGCAUAAGC
rnacentral:rRNA from 1 species